UGUUCGUUGGCGGCGGUACCACGGCAGCAGCAGGCCACAGCGCCCAACACGCAUGUUCAGUGGAGAGUCAAUGGAAGGAGCCCUCAGAUGACGGACGCAAACGUCUGGGCAUGACAGCCGCUGUCACCGAGAGUGACAGCUUUCGCUCUCUGACGCCGCACCUCGACUAGACCCGAGUGAAGCCCGCCAAAGAAGUGACACGGAGCAAAUCAGAACUAUGCCAGAGAUGGAAAAAGGGAGACCACCGGAAAAUAAACGCAGUAGGAAACCUGCGCACCCCGUCAAGAGAGAGAUCAACCAAGAGAUGAAGACGUUUGCAGAGAGCACCAUGAAUGAGCUCCUAGGCUGGUACGGCUAUGACAAGGUGGAGCUCAGGGACAACGAGGCAACCGAGAUACGGAACUACCCCAACCGAGAGAGACGCCAGCAGCAUGUCUCCGUCCUUAAAGAAAACUCAGUGCCGAAGCCCAAGAGCUUGAACAGCAAAGUCAGCCCCUCUGCACUGGCCAUGAGGAGUGGAGAGAGAGAAUCAUCCAGCGUCCCCUCUUCCACUUCCUCUUCCUUCCCCAGCUCCUCCUCUUUGACCAGCCCUAAGGAGCAUAAGAGCGCUCCUGUAAUUGUCCCCCUUAUAAAGCCAUCUGCAGUGGAAGACGUGCAGAAUGUGCAGAUAGUGUGUGUGUGGUGUCAGAAGGAGGGGGUGAAGCGCUACUCUCUCUGUAUGGGCACCGAGCUGAAGAGCUUCUGUAGUGAGAAGUGCUUCGCCGCCUGCCGACGGGCCUAUUUCAAACGCAACAAGGCCCGGGAUGAGGAUCUCAAUGGAGGUGAGCAAUCCCCCCAACACACCCAUGCCGACGACUCACCCCGACUGGUGAUGAAGAUGAACAGCAGUGGGGCCAGAUCACUCUCGCCUGUACCUCAGGUGUGCGACUGGUGCAAACACAUCCGCCACACCAAAGAGUACCUGGACUUCGGCGCAGGCGCAGAACGGCUCCAGUUCUGCAGUAGUAAGUGCUUGAACCAGUACAAGAUGGACGUGUUCUACAGAGAGGCCAGGGCAGCUCUCAUCAGCUCCAGCCCAGGCCCAGGAAGACCCACCCAGGAUGGGAGAACUGAGUCCAACGGAGGGGGUCAGAACCAGAAACUCCUGACCCCCGAAUCGUGGAACAAUGGCGCGGGGGUCGUUCGGGGGAGGACCAGGUCACCCAAAGGGCCCAUGCCAAGGACUGUGUCACCAUCUGAGGCGUCGUCCUCGUCCUCCAAGGCCCCCGUCUCUGGGCUGAGACACCUGGAGAGGCAUGUCCUGCCACCGUUGCCACCCCCAGAGGUGGCAAACCACCACUCCGUCCCCCCUCCUCCUCCUCGCCCCCCCAUGGAGCACCACCAACACCACCAAGCAAUUCCUCAGAUCCCGCUGUCCUUCAUCCGGCCCCCCCUCCACGCCCAAGGCCUGACGAGCCCCAUCGCCAAUCCCCACAGGUGCCACCCUGGCCCCCCUUCCAGCCCCAUCAACCGGUCCACCCCUCACUCCCCCCACCACCCCCACCUCCAGCCCCCCUCGGCCUCCUCCAUGAACCCACCUAGAAUGCACCCAUACCCGGGGGCCUACUUCCCUGGCCUGCACUCCCCCCCAAUGAUGGGGCCCCGUGGCCCUGUGCCCAUGCCCUCUAUGAUGAACUUCGGGAGAUGGCCGUCCCUAGGCCCCUUCUUCCCUCAGCCCAUGGUCCUGGUUCCCUACCCCAUUAUUCUACCCAUCCCCGUCCCCAUCCCCAUUCCUAUCCCCAUACCCAUGCCCCCUAAGGCUUCCCCCUCAGACCCCCAAGGGAUCUCCCCCAGUGGGGUUAUCCAGCCAGUGCCAGAUGGGAUGGAGAGGAGGUGCUCCAGUGGUGUCAAACUGCCCUCUCCCGGGAGCUCUGUGCUAAGCAGAUUAAGUAGAACCCCCAACCAGGGUCUCCCGUCGCCCCCCGACCACCCCAAAAGGGAUAUCACAGAUUGGGUUAAAUCGGAGAGUCAGGCUCCGUCGCCCAUAUCGACCCCCCACAGUGCAGCGUCCUCCCCCAGGGCAUGCUACGAUGCUUCCCCUUCUUCCACUUCAGUGAUUGAGGCACUGUUAGACUUUAAGUUGGGCCAGCAGCAGCAGCCAGAGAGACAGCUCAUUCAUAGAGUGCUCCAGAGGACCCCAGUCAAGCUGGAGGUCAACCCCCAUGGAAUGGUGGACCUGUCGGGUAAACGGGAGUCCAGAGCGGGGCAAAGCACCAGGGUAUUGGAUACCAGAGUGGACCACCACAACCACCACCAUGACAUUAUCAAACCCACCCCUCCACCAUCCCAGUCCCCCCUUCCCCUUCACGACAUUUCCUUCCCCCAGAGCCCAAACACACAAAUCCCCUCGCACACUCCACCAAUGACCAGAGGGGGAUGCCGCAGCCCUCCCUGUGAUGCCGCCACCUCCUCCCCCCCGAUGUCCCCAGACAUCCCUAACCGAACGACUACGUCAUCAUCCCCCGACCCUGCUCCCAGCCCAGACUCCUCCCAGUCCCAGAGAGAGGCCCCGCUCCUUGGCCCUGACUCUGUCCUCAGCGAGCUGGAGGCGGUCAAAGAGAACAGCUGCUCCAAUGGCCAGGUCCAGGGGAGGGACCAGGGCAAGUUCCCUUCCCUCCCCACUAGCCAAUCAGAGGAGCCCUCGCCCAGUGGCGACCCUAAGGACCCCCACAUCCUCGAUGAGGACCACGCCUAUGCCCUGCCCACCCCCACCCCCACCCCUACCCCUACCAGGACGGGCAGUUUCCCAGCCACCACCCACACCACACUCCUUCUGCCCAAGCUCAGGGACAAGGGCACCCUCUGGAGCCCACCAAGUGUGGCUGGACCUGGGGACAUGGAGCCAGCUCAGAAGAGACGUUGCCUCCGUAUCCGAGAUCAGAACAAGUAGAAGAGGGAGGACAAUCGGGGCUACAAGUAGAACAGAAAACAGUUUGAUUGACAAAUGAAAUUUUUAAGAACAAGGUCCGCCAAAGGAAAAACCUGAGAAAAAUGAAUUUAUAUGAAUGCUCGGUACCAGAUCCAGUGCCCUGCCCUCUUAUGGACAUCACCAGAACCAACGCCCUCUCUCCAAUCCAUUCCUCAGCCAAUCAGUCAGCCACCAGGGAGAUUGGCCACGCCCUUCUUCUGACCACGAGUUGCCAAUCAAGGAAGCAGUCCAAUGGGGGAAGCAGCCCAAGAUAUGGACACCUAGUAUAUUCACAGCAUCUUUGGACUUCAGAGAUACCUCCUUCUUUGAUCUCUGCCAUACUCCAUGAGCCUAUCAGAGCCCACUCCUCAACCCUAUUCAGUGGCUCUACACUAGACGGUAGGCUACUAGGCUCCAAUCAUCAGCCUUGUGUGGUCUUCUCAGAUGGAGCCUGAACCUGAUCUCUUUCCUGGGGAAACGGUUUGUUUUCUCUGCCUAGCUCCACACAAAGAGCCACAUUGUUCCUCUCCCCCAUAUCCCACGCUAACUCCCCUACUCGGGUUUUGGGUUACCUGGCCGACGGGGGCUCAAGCUUCAGGAGGAGUGUCUUUUUUUUGGUCUGAUUGAGGGCCAGGAAUAUGUGUGUACCCGCCUCUCCUUCUUUCCUCUCCUCUCCUCUCCUCUCUGUACCCCCUGCCCAAUUGCAGUAUACAGUACACACACCAGUCCUGAAGUGCAACUUCUUACACCAAUUGCUUGAUAACUUCCUCUUUCCAUCGAAUAUCAUCUCACGAGGGAUGAGGGUAAACAAUUUCAGUUCAAGAAUUUAUCCUGAACUAUUUUAAGGAGGGAUGGAAUCUCCUGGAGCAAUGAAAAAUAUGAACUGUAAACAAUGUCAUAUGAUAACGAAGGAGAGAGGGAGCAAGUCCCAAAUAUCAAUCAAAUAUCAAUCUUGACUUGCCUGAGACUUGAAGACUUGUCCCCAAAAUGAAUGCCAAGGCUUUGGCUCAAAGGGCUACUACCACAGUCUUGUGAUGUGCAGGAGACCUGGGUUUCAGACCAUCACACAGGCAGUGAUUUAAAACACUGACUCAGUCAUGGGACUUGGGCUAUAUUGUCACAGGCAUACCAUUUAUGAUCUUUUUACCACCAAUUGGUCUUUUGACCAAUCAGAUCAGAUCUUUUGCCAAUAAUCGGGCAGCCUGUGUGAACACUGCCAUAGAAGUAGAUAUUUUGAGUUUCCAAACCCACUCCCUCUGUUGAUGCUCCUUACCUUACUCAGAUAAUGUGCAGUGGGCCCCUUUUGGUGGGUUUGAAACAACAAUGUAGGUAGUCAUGUUACCAGCCAUGGUAUUAUUUUGAACCGUCAAAGGCUGCAAAAUGCAGCUAUCAGUAUUACAGUUUGAUGAGAUACUGACUAUACGCCUGGUCCCAGAUCUAUUUGUUCUGUCUUGCCAACUCUUCUAGUCAUUGUCAUGCCAAAACUAUCCACAUUAUCCAGUGGGAGCAUCAUCAUCUUGAGGCCUUGCCAGCACUCAUCAUCACAUUGUGAGAAUUCACUUUUAGUUUUUGCUAUACAUAGACUUUGACUUUAUAUUAACUUAUGAAUGAUGCCUAGAUCUUCAAAAAGUGCCUUAUUGAUUUUUAUUUUGAUGAUGAUUAUUAUGCUGUAUUUUGCAAGUUCUAACCAGUUUCCAAAUGUUUUGUUAGAAUUUGUCCAGUAGAGUGCAGUGUCGCUUUUGGAACAUACAUACCUGCCAAAAUAAUGGAAACACUUGAGUAAAUGAGGGAUACAAAGUCAAUUGAAUGCAGGUGGUUCCACACAUGUGUGGUUUCUGAGUUAAUUAUGCAAUUACCAUCCCAUCAUGCUUCGGGUCAUAUAUAAAAAAUAAUGGGCAAGCCAUUAUUUUGGCUGCCAUGGCUAUGCCUCCCCCCAUAGGAUGACAAUGCCCCCAUCCACAGGUCACAAAUUGUCAUUGAAUGGUUUAAUGGGCAUGAAAACGAUGUAGGCCAUAUGCCAUGGCCGUCUCAGUCACCAGAUCUCAGCCAAUUAAACACGGAUGGGAGAUUCUGGAGCGGCGCCUAAGACAAAACACUAAACACAAAAUGAUAUAAUGAUUUAGUUUAAGAAUGGUGUCACAUCCCUCCAAUAGAGUUCCAGACACUUGUAGAAUAUAUGCCAAGGCACAUUGAAGCUGUUCUGGUUUGUGGUGUCCCAAUGCCCUAUUAAGACACUUUAUGUUGUGGUUUCUUUUAUUUUGGGAGUUACCUUACCUGUAGCAGCUGCCUCUUUUUACUAUACAUAACUAGCCGUCUCCAAUACCUUCGGUAAAUAGAUAGGCUGUUUUCAUUAACAUAAACGUGUAUUAAUUCACCUUCAUUCAGUAAACAACCAUACAUUUAGUGCCAAUACAAGUCUGUCUUCAUCAUGCCAAUUUCAGCAAUGGCUCGAUCUAUUCAUCGAUCCUGCCACAGAUCACCUGUUGCCACCCCCCCCCCCCCCCCCCCCCCCCCCACACACACACACACACACACACUCUCUCUCUCACACUCUCUCUCUCUCACACACACACACAUACACCUCUGCCAUCUCAGAACUGCAUUCCAAAGAGCACAUGCCCAAUCAGCGUAUGUGUAGCCACGGUGACAACAAGCUCAUUCCAGUCAACAGGCUUACCUUAGGUCAUGCCUAUAGAAUCAUUGUCAACUUAGUCUGCCCAGGGGACUGUGUCACAAACUAUUAUGACUCAGCAGUGAGGUCACUCUAUACUAAUGCCUGUCAUACCCUGCAGUACUCCCCUAGCCAUUCCUUAGUGGCCAAAAAGUCAACAAAAAACUGCCAUAGUAUAUUGCACAUCUACCUGUACCUACCAUUUCUGGCCAGUAUCAGUUUGGGAAGAUAAAAAUGUUAAGUUGUCUGAAACCUAUAUAUUGUGGACUCUGAGGACACUUGUUGAACAUAUAGGGUACUGUAUAAUUGACCAUUCAGAUAGUUUUUUAUGUAAAUGAAUACGAUAAACCGGGAGCUGUUUGGUGAAGACCCAUUUGUAAAGUGAAUAAAGGCUAUUCUGACGGUACCAACA